GUAGUCUGCAACUCGACUACAUGAAGCUGGAAUCGCUAGUAAUCGCGAAUCAGCAUGUCGCGGUGAAUACGUUCCCGGGUCUUGUACACACCGCCCGUCACACCAUGGGAGUUGGUAACGCCCGAAGCCAGUGACCCAACCGGAAACGGAGGGAGCUGUCGAAGGUGGGACCGAUAACUGGGGUGAAGUCGUAACAAGGUAGC
rnacentral:rRNA from 1 species